UUGUAAAGCUCUGUCGAGCGGAAAGAAAUGCCGGAUGGCCAAUAUCCAUCAUGUUUGACGGUAUCUCCAGAGGAAGCUCCGGCUAACUCCGUGCCAGCAGCCGCGGUAAUACGGGGGGUGCAAGCGUUGUUCGGAAUCAUUGGGCGUAAAGAGCGUGUAGGCGGCUGGACAAGUCAGAUGUGAAAUCCCUGGGCUUAACCCAGGAAGUGCAUUUGAAACUGUCUAGCUGGAGUAAGGGAGAGGAAAGUGGAAUUCCUGGUGUAGAGGUGAAAUUCGUAGAUAUCAGGAGGAACACCGGUGGCGAAGGCGACUUUCUGGCCCAAUACUGACGCUGAGACGCGAAAGCGUGGGAGCAAACAGGAUUAGAUACCCUGGUAGUCCACGCUGUAAACGAUGUUCACUAGGUUUUGGAGUUUCGACCCUUUCAGAGCCGCAGCUAACGCAUUAA
rnacentral:rRNA from 1 species